rnacentral:rRNA from 1 species
UAGUAGCGGCGAGCGAAGCGGGAAGAGCUCAAAUUUGAAAGCUGGCGUCCUACGGGCGUCCGCAUUGUAAUCUAUAGAGGCGUUUUCUGUGCUGGACCGUGUCUAAGUCCCUUGGAACAGGGUAUCAAAGAGGGUGACAAUCCCGUACUUGACACGACAACCAGUGCUCUGUGAUACGUCUUCUACGAGUCGAGUUGUUUGGGAAUGCAGCUCAAAAUGGGUGGUGAAUUCCAUCUAAAGCUAAAUAUUGGCGAGAGACCGAUAGCGAACAAGUACCGUGAGGGAAAGAUGAAAAGCACUUUGGAAAGAGAGUUAAACAGUAUGUGAAAUUGUUGAAAGGGAAACGAUGGAGGUCAGUCGUGUCUGUGGGAUUCAGCCGUCUCUGGCGGUGUACUUCCCACAGACGGGUCAACAUCAGUUUUGGCUGGCGGAUAAAGGCAGGAGGAAGGUGGCACCCCCCGGUGUGUUAUAGCCUCUUGUUGCAUACGCUGGCUGAGACUGAGGAAUGCAGCUCGCCUUUAUGGCCGGGGUUCGCCCACGUUCGAGCUUAGGAUG